CCUACGGGUGGCUGCAGUGGGGAAUAUUGGACAAUGGGCGAAAGCCUGAUCCAGCCAUGCCGCGUGUGUGAAGAAGGCCUUCGGGUUGUAAAGCACUUUCAGUGGGGAAGAAAGCCUUGGGGCUAAUACCCUCGAGGAAGGACAUCACCCACAGAAGAAGCACCGGCUAACUCCGGGCCAGCAGCCGCGGUAAUACGGAGGGUGCGAGCGUUAAUCGGAAUUACUGGGCGUAAAGCGCGCGUAGGCGGUCUGAUAAGCCGGUUGUGAAAGCCCCGGGCUCAACCUGGGAACGGCAUCCGGAACUGUCAGGCUAGAGUGCAGGAGAGGAAGGUAGAAUUCCCGGUGUAGCGGUGAAAUGCGUAGAGAUCGGGAGGAAUACCAGUGGCGAAGGCGGCCUUCUGGACUGACACUGACGCUGAGGUGCGAAAGCGUGGGUAGCAAACAGGAUUAGAUACCCCAGUAGUC
rnacentral:rRNA from 1 species